UUCAGCUCCUGAGCAACUUCGGCGCUUCGGCUCCCGUACUGCUGACUAUUCGGAUCUUUAGGGCAGAACACGAGACGGUCAACUCGCUGCUCCGCGGACCUGACUGCGUUCUGAGAGAAAGUUUCCCAACCCUGGUCUACAAUAUAGUUGGAUUCGACUACAAAGGAUCUGGGGUAGGAAGGAGGAAGUAUGACUGCCUGGUAAGGAAAGGAAAAGAAAGCUGGAAACAUUGGAAAAAUAAACGAGUUCUUUCCUGUGAAGCCAAGGCCAUCUGCAUCAGGCACAUUGGAAGAUUGGACAUGCUGAAGACACCUCGAGGCCAACGCUCUGAUAUUCGACAUCAACACCCUUCUUGCUAGUCUAACCUAUCUACAGAAACACAAGAAAAAAAUUUCCAUGUAAAAAAUGGUAAACGGCAGUUGAAGAAUAUCAACAAUUAUUGACAGUGAGACUUUUGAAAGGCUGCAAAUGAAUCAAAAAAAAAAAAAAAAAAAAGCUAGAGAAGAAAAGAAGCAUCCAUAAUAUAGUCUCAUCUUCCAUAACUCUUACUACCAAAGUGCACGACUCAGGUAAACAACACAGAGAUCAUCUCAUACAAGCACAAAGGAACCAUGAAAAAAGCUGAACCUGAGCAUCAGGAGACCCUCUGAGACUUUGCCCUGGCUGUUCCGCUAACUGCUUAUGUGUGAUGAGUUGUCAAGUCUCCAGGGUCCCUCAACACUUGGAAUAAGGAAAUAGGAUCUUUCCCUCUGAGAGGUAAACUGUAUGAUGUAUCUGAGCAUCCAUUUACUCUUCCAGUUCUUCCCAUUGACAGAUAGUUUUUAACCAUCUUCUAUGUGUCAGGCAACAUAAUGCACAGUGACCCAGGGAUGAACAAGAAAGACAAGGUCUCAUGGAGCUUGCAUUUACUAUGGGGGAUGGACAAUAAUAAGUCAUCAAACAGAUUAAUCUUAUAAUGCCAGUAAUGUUAAGUGCUUUGAAACAAACAGAUGUGGUAAGUGUGAUGGGGAGUGGUACUCUAGAUUGAGGGGUCAUCGGAGGCAUCCCUGUGGAGGUGAAACUGAAUUUGGAAACAUGACUGGCAAGAAGGAACUAACUCUCCGAAGAUCUGGAGGAAGUGUUCCAGAUAGGAUGGCACGUGCAAAGUCCCUGAGGAAAGAAGGAAGAGCAAAAAGAGCUCAGGGAAGAGUUGGAGAUGAGUCAGAGAUAGAGGGGUCAUAUUAUGGAGGCUUUUAUAGGCAAUACAAAGAAGAAGAGUGAUAUAACUUAAUUCACACUUCAUGUUUAAAAAGAUCAUCCCAACUGCUAGAUGAAGAGGAAUGAGUUUGGAGGUAAUUUCAAUAGUUGAGGUAAGGGACUGCACAAGUGGCAUAAGUAAAAAAGGUAAGAAAGGUCCUGGCCAGAUAUAUUUUGGAAGAGAAGUGACAAGGAUCAGAACAUACUAUCCCAAAAUAUGGCACCUUGGUAUACUGAAUAUUUUGAGCUGAAGGAAUUUGAGAAAACAGCAGAUGCAGGAAACUCUCUCUGAUCUUUUUCCACCCUGCUCCCUUGAAGCAGGUCAUUAAGACCCUCACGGGAGAGGUGCCCUCCCUAUACCCAGAGAAGGACACUGAGAGAAAGAAAUCCAAACAAACAGACCUUGCUAGUUUUCCCUAGGUUAUUAUCCUUAGUCAUACCCCCUUUUUUGUGCUAUCCCAUUUUUUUUCUUUAUCCUAAUAUUAAACACACACAGAUUGACCUGUCUCUUCAGGUCUUUGUUACCUUUAUAGAGGCUCCCAUAUCAUGUAAAAUUUAUAUGAAAUAAAUGUGUAGGCAUUUCUCCUGUUAA